rnacentral:rRNA from 1 species
AGAGUUUGAUUCUGGCUCAGAACGAACGCUGGCAGCGUGGAUUAUGCAUGCAAGUCGAACGAGAGGCCUUGUUAUCAAUCUUCGGAAAGAGAUCGGGGUGGACAGUGGCGGAAGGGUGAGUAACGCGUGGGCAACCUGCCUUGAAGUUGGGGACAACACUUCGAAAGAAAUGCUAAUACCGAAUGUGGUACCUUGUCGCCUGGCAAGGAUACUAAAGCUGGGGAUCUUCGGACCUGGCGCUUCGAGAGGGGCCCGCGUGGCAUCAGCUUGUUGGUGGGGUAAUGGCUCACCAAGGCUGCAACGCCUAGCCGGCCUGAGAGGGUGAUCGGCCACACUGGGACUGAGACACUGCCCAGACUCCUAUGGGAGGCUGCAGUCGAGGAUCAUUCGCAAUGCGCGAAAGCGUGACGAUGCGACGCUGCGUGGAGGAUGACGGCCUUCGGGUUGCAAACUCCUGUCAUGAGGGAAGAACCACACCGUUGUAAAUAGCUUCGGUGUCUGACGGUACCUCAAGAGGAAGCCACGGCUAACCCUGUGCCAGCAGCCGCGGUAAUACAGAGGUGGCGAGCGUUGUUCGGAUUUACUGGGCGUAAAGCGUACGUAGGUGGCUUGUUAAGUUGGAUGUGAAAGCCCAUGGCCCAACCAUGGAAUUGCAUUCAAAACUGGCGGGCUAGAGUGCAGGAGGGGAGAGCGGAAUUCUUGGUGUAGCGGUGAAAUGCGUUGAUAUCAAGAAGAACACCGGUGGCGAAGGCGGCUCUCUGGAAUGUUACUGACGCUGAGGUACGAAAGCUGGGGGAGCAAACAGGAUUAGAUACCCUGGUAGUCCCAGCCGUAAACGGUGUGCACUUGGUGUAGGAGGAUUUGACCCCUUCUGUGCCGGAGCUAACGCGUUAAGUGCACCGCCUGGGGAGUACGGCCGCAAGGUUAAAACUCAAAGAAAUUGACGGGGGCCCGCACAAGCGGAGGAGCAUGUGGCUUAAUUCGAUGCAACGCGAAGAACCUUACCUGGGCUUGACAUAUAACUGCAAGCCUCCUGAAAGGGAGGCCGCCUUCGAGGGUGUUAUACAGGUGCUGCAUGGCUGUCGUCAGUUCGUGCCGUGAGGUGUUGGGUUAAGUCCCGCAACGAACGCAACCCCUGUGGUUAGUUGCCACCGUAGGUGAUGAGCCUACGAGCACUCUAGCCAGACUGCCCGUACAAGCGGGAGGAAGGUGGGGACUACGUCAAGUCAGUAUGGCCCCUUACGUCCAGGGCCGCACACGUGCUACAAUGGUCGGUACAGAGGGACGCAAUACCGCGAGGUGGAGCAAAUCCUGAAAGCCGGCCCCAGUUCGGAUUGGAGUCUGCAACUCGACUCCAUGAAGUUGGAUUCGCUAGUAACGGCGUAUCAGCUACGACGCCGUGAAUACGUUCCCGGGCCUUGUACACACCGCCCGUCACAUCAUGAAAGCCGUCUGCACCCGAAGUCGCUGAGCCAACCCGCAAGGGAGGCAGGUGCCGAAGGUGUGGGUGGUGAUUGGGAUGAAGUCGUAACAAGGUA